rnacentral:rRNA from 1 species
CAGCAGCCGCGGUAACACCGGCAGCUCUAGUGGUAGCAAUUUUAUGGGCCUAAAGCGUCCGUAGCCGGUUUAAUAAGUCUCUGGUGAAAUCUGCAGCUUAACUGUGGGAAUUGCUGGAGAUACUAUUAGACUUGAGACCGGGAGAGGUUAGAGGUACUCCCAGGGUAGAGGUGAAAUUCUGUAAUCCUGGGAGGGCCGCCUGUUGCGAAGGCGUCUAACUGGAACGGUUCUGACGGUGAGGGACGAAAGUUAGGGGCGCGAACCGGAUUAGAUACCCGGGUAGUCCUAACUGUAAACGAUGCGGACUUGGUGUUGGGGUGGCUUUGAGCUGCUUCAGUGCCGAAGGGAAGCUGUUAAGUCCGCCGCCUGGGAAGUACGGUCGCAAGACUGAACUUAAAGGAAUUGGCGGGGGAGCACCACAACGCGUGGAGCCUGCGGUUUAAUUGGAUUCAACGCCGGACAUCUCACCAGAGGCGACAGCUGUAUGAUAGCCAGGUUGACGACUUUGCUUGACUAGCUGAGUAGUGGUGCAUGG